GCUGGGACUACAGGCGUGAGCCACCGCGCCCGGCCGGCAUUUGCCUUUUUUGAACACAGUCUGAACACUCAUCAGUGUGUGAGUAGUUGAAGUAUGGCUGCUGGGAUUGGCCAAGACUCAGCUAUUGUUACAGAUGCAUACUCCUAAGUUAGGUUUUCAAUCUUGUUUAUUAAGCUAGGUUACAGUUCAUCCCCAAGGACUCAAAUAUAGAAGAAUGGAGUCCUUCUCAGGCUAUAUUUAUUUUGCUUUAACACACCUAUGUCCUUGAAGGAACCCAUGAAGAGCCCUUUCAUGAAGAGUCUGUUUUGCUGAUGAGGAAGAUGAAUAGAAAUAAGCAACUUGUCCAAGGCCAUGCUGAGAGAAAUUUGGUAGAGUCCGUCUGAAGUAGACCCAUGAUCUUCUGAUUCCUUACCAAGGGUAGUUCCUAAGGCUGUUAGUCUUUCACAACUUUCUUUAAUAGCAGACAGGGGUGAUUAGCAGUUGCUAUUUGUGAAAUGUCUAAGAGUUGAUGCCUGGGAUGGCCCUUGAGUUCACAGCUGUGAAAGUAAACCCAUUACAACUAUUUUUGUUUGUUUGUUUGUUUGUUUGAGAUGGAGUCUCACUUUGUUGCCUGGGCUAUAGUGCAGUGGCCUGAUCUCGGCUCACUGCAACCUCCGUCUCCUGAGUUCAAGCAAUUCUCCCCCCUCAGCCUCCCAAGUAGCUGGGACUAUAGGCGCACAUCACUACACCCGGCUAAUUUUUUUUACUUUUAGUAGAGAUGGGGUUUCACCAUGUUGGCCAGGCUGGUCUUGAUCUCCUGACCUCGUGACCUGUCCGCCUUGGCCUCCCAAAGUGCUGGGAUUACAGGCGUGAGCCAUCGCACCUGGCCCCCCAUCACAACUAUUUUAUGGUCUGGGUCCCAGAUUUUAUUCACCUCUCUACCCCGGCAGCAACCUACACAGUGUUUCCUGCCUUCUAGGUGUAUUAAAUAAAUACAUGUUGGCUGAGCACAGUGGCUCACACCUGUAAUCCCAGCACUUUGGGAGACUGAGGCAGGAGGAUUGCUUGAGCCGAGUUUGAGACUAACCUGAGCAACAUAGUGAGACCCCAUCUCUAGAAAAUAAGUUGAACAUGAGCAUGACCUAAUAGCAAUGAAAAAAGAAUGCUCCCUAUUUUUAUCCAUGACACAUUAUAGGAGAUAAAAAUGUCCUUCAGCGUACCUGAGAUUAUCAAGGAUAGAAGUACAUAAAACAUUAAAUUUCAGCUCUUUAGAAUUAUAUGCCUAAAUGCUGUUGGGUUUCCAAAGAUAGUGGAUUUCAACCCAAUUUAAUUUUAAAAAAUGAUGUUCACGCUAAACAAAUAACUGUGCUGGGGUUGUAAGUAAGAUCUAGUUUCUCACUUACAGGAAUUUAGUGUCAAGUGGGAAGAUGCAGAAUGUUCGUAAUUAACUACAGUAUUACAUGAAAUAGAAUGUGUUACCUGCCAAAAUAGAGAUCUACAGUGCAAAGAGACAAAAAGGUGAGAACUGGCUUUCACUUAGGAGAGUGAAUGAAGCAUUUGUGGAGGAAAUGGUAUCUGAACCGAGCCCCUAAAGGGUAGGUGGAUCUUGCCUGUUAAAGAGAAAGAAUCUUCUGGGCAGAGAAAAUCACAUGGGAAAAGAGAUAGGCACAAAGAUCUCUUGGGAGCAGCUACUUUUCCAUAUGGACUGGGCAGGGCACGCGAGUGAAGUAUGAAGUUCAACUGGAAUGUCAUUGGGAACAGCCAAGGCCGAGAACUAUGGAAUAGUUUUGAGCCAGGGGAGAUAUGAUCAGGGCUGUGCUGCAGAGAAAGUGGCUGCAGCAGGGAGCAGUGUGGAGGGCAGGGGGAAGAGAUAAGAAGAGAGAGGUGAAGAGUUGGAAACCAGUAAGAAGGACACUUCAGAAUGUGACAUGAGUGAGAGAGUGGGUUUGGGCUCCUCUGUGGUAAACCUCAUUUUGAAACUGGUUUCACUCGCUACCCCUGCAAUUUAGGCUUUAAAAUAAGACUGUCUUUGGACUUUAGUUUUCUCACCUGUGAAAGGAGAGGGUCGAUGCUGGCUCAAGUCGGCCAUCUCUGAUGGUCUGUGAUUCUAAGCAUCUUAUUUGUCAUCUGCUACAAAUCCAAUUCUGGAUGGCUGAGGUCACUUCUCAUCCUUAAAAUUUGCUAACAUGAAUUUGGUGUUGUUUGGUGCUGUUUGCAAUUGGAAAUCCCACUGAUAUGGCCAUGAUUUGGGGCAGGAUUGGGAAGAUGAAAUCAUUGAGUUGGAGUUUAUUCCAAUUUGCCUUAUUUAAAACUUAUUUCAGUUAUACCAACUUUUCAAGCAUGGCUGAAAAGAGAAAAUAUAUCUUGCUGGGUUUACAAACUCGGGGGACAGGAAGUAGGUUUCCAACUCUGAACAUGUGGUAGGUUACUUAGGUUACUUCUUGUAAACACAAGGAUUUUACAUCAGGGGCAGAGGCCAGAUUUCAUGACUAUAACUGGAAAUCUUAGGAAACAGAUGAAUCAUAUAACCCAUCACUUCAACUGGAAAGCAAAUGUAUCCUACUAUUAGAGUUUAUCUCGAAAUGCUUUGGGAAAUCUCAGGGGGCUGGAGGAACCCUCAGCUCAAGCCAUUUGUGGGAUGUGUUGGUCCGGCAUAGACUCCAGCCAAAAGACCAAAUAUUGCCUUUUGUUGUUUCCUGGAGGGAAGGAUAUGGACAACAAUGAUCUGGCCGUGGGGAAGAUUCAAGGGAAUAAAAAUGAAUCAUCACCAGCCACCAGGAAGCACCAGGAGCUCUCUAAAUGGAAUGGAGGCCUCCCAUACCUUGGGUGGGUGAGGUAAAACAAUAGCUGAUGAGGGAGACAGAGGCGGAGAUAGGAACACUCAGCUUUACUGAGACUGGCAACCAUGGUGAAGGAACUAACCAAAAGAAAUAUGAGCUUGCUGCUGCCCCGAAUUUCAAAAGAAAUCACUUCGGGGCUGGUUUCCUGUAGUGUCCCUUAGGGAGGUCAUUUUUUUUUUUUCUGAGCCACCCCUGGUGAUUUCCUCAUCAGCUGCCCCAGCUCUAGUAUCCACCAUGAGCAAUGUCAUCUGCAUAAUAAUGUGGAGAAUGUAACCAACUAUUCACUCCAUGUCCAAAAGGGCUCUGUGAACUAUGAGGCUACAAAGAGCCUCCAACCAGAAGACUGGAGUGCUAAUUGCUGCCCUAGGAAGGAGGGUGGAGGGACAUCUGCCCUCCAGUUCAGGUCCUCAGCUGCGGCUUUGGGGGAAUUUUAGACACACCCUGCUAGUUGCUGGACCCUGGGACAUAGGAUUUGAGCUGGAUUCUUUCUUGUCUUCUUGUGCUUUUUAAAUAAUGUAAUUAAUUAAUUACCUUUUUAAAGCAUCCUUAUAUCUCUCCAUUUAUUUUUGUCUUCUUUAGUGUUUCUAAAUAAAGUCUUUUUUUAACCUUUAAAAAUUAAGGAUAUUUUCAAACAUACAAAAAUUAGAGGAUAGUAUGAUGAACCCACACCACCUAACUUCGAUAUCUGACCAAGUUUGUUUCACUUAUGUCCCUUCCAGUUUUUUUCUAGAUAUGUAAAAACACAUUCGAAGUAUCAUGUCAUCUGUAAAGUCUUCAAAAUAUAUUGCUAGCAGAUAAGGAGUUUUAACAAAUAACAGUACUACUAUUAUAUGUAACAAAACUAGUAAUUUUUUCACCUCACGUAAUGCCCAGUGAUCCACUUUCUCUUGUUGUCUAAAAUGUCUUUUUUGAAGUUGGCUUGAGUUGGAAACCAAGUAAGAUCUAUACAAAAUACACGUUAGUUCCUCUCUUCUUUUCAUGCUAUUCAUUCGUAGAAGAAAUCAGAUAAUAGGUUCUGUAGAAUUUCGAGCUUUGGCUUAUUGCAUUCUUGUGGUGUUUUCCCAAGGAGCCCUUGUGUCCAGAUGGUGGUCUUUCAAUAACAUUUCCCAAUUUUUUAUGAUUACAGGGUUUUUGCUUAUUUGAUUUUAUAUUUGUAUCUUGUUGUUCCUAUGCUGAAAAGCUCAGUCUCUAUAUUAACAUAAUUACUUGUCAACUUUAGCUUACAACACAUAUAUAGCUUAAAAAUAAUAGGCAAUAAGACUACUGAACCUAGGUUAAGAGUUCUCUGCAAUAAUUCCAUGGAGAUAAUAUCUUCUUUUACAUCCCUAAAGAUAUUUACUAUAGUUCCUUUCUGCAUUGAUGUUUUCCUUUAUUUUCUUUAUCAUUUCUGUUUCACUUUUCAGGCAUUGAUAAACCUUGGCUGUUGCUUCAAAUAUAAAUGAUUCUAGAACAUCAGAAUAACUAGUAACAGUAAGAUUACUCAAAUAAGCAAAUAAAAUCAAAGAAGCUCCUGGUUCCUGGCACACAGCUCCUAACACCAUUGGAAUCUCUGGAGUGAAAAGAGUGUCUUUUGUAAGUGAAUGAGAUGACUGAAGGUCGGGGGCCUGUAGAUAGCCCCUUCUCCUAUACCUCGACCUAUACAUCUCUUCCAUGUUUCUUUCAUCUGUAUGCUUUGUAACAUUCUUUAUAAUAAACAAGUAAGUGUAAGUGCUUCCUGAGUUCUGUGAGCUGCUCUAGCAAAUCAGUUGAACCUGAAGAAGGGGUCUUGGGAACCCCUGAUUUACGGCUGGUCGGUCAGAAGCACAGGUAAAACAACUGGGGGCUUGCAGCUGGCAUCUGAGGUGAGGGGAAGCCUUGUGGAACUUAGCGCUUGGCAUGUGGGAUCUGAUACUCUCUCUAGGUAGAUAGCAUCAGAGUGGAACUGAGAGAGGACACCCCGCUGCUGUCUGCUGGAGAACUGAUUGGUGUGUGGAAUCUGGUUUUAGAAGUAUUAUAUUGAGUGGUAUGUGAAAGUAGGAAACACACUUCAUUUUUUUUCCAUCUUUAUAAUAUUUACAUAGUUUUCCGGCACUUCUGGGUAUAGCUAUUUCUAGCUAUUUGAAUGUAGGAAAUGCUUCCAAGAAUGCCUCUCACUUUUUAAAAAAAUUGAGAGAUAACUCACAUACCAUAAAAUUGACCUUUAAAGUAUACAGUCCAGUGGUUUUAGUAUAUUCACAAGAUUGUGCAACUAUCACAACUAAUUCUAGAACAUUGUCAUUACCCCCUACAAAGAAUUCCAUUAGUAGUCACUGCCCAUUCUUCCUUCCCCCACUGCCAGCUUCUCCAUUUUAAUCUACUCCUAUUUUUUUGUCUCUAUGGAUGUGCCUAUCCUGGACUUUUCAUAUAAAUAGAACCAGCCAGGUGUAGUGGCUCAUGCCUGUAAUCCCAGCACUUUGGGAGGCUGAGACAGGCAGAUCACACAAGGCCAGGAGUUCGAGACCAGCUUGGGCAACAUGGUGAAACCCCGUCUCCACUAAAAAUGCCAAAAUUAGCCAGGUGUGGGUGGUGCACGUCUGUAAUCCCAGCUACUCGGGAGGCUGAAGCAUGAGAAUUGCUUGAACCCAGGAGGUGGAUGUUGUAGUGAACCCAGAUUGUGCCGUUGCACUCCAGCCUGCGUGACAGAGCAAGACCUUCUGUGUCUGGCUUCUUUCUGUUAGCACAUUUGCAAGAUUCAUUUAUGUUAUACCAUGAGUCAAUACUUUAUUCCUUUUUAUGGUUGAAUAAUAUUCCAUUUCAUUUCUCCAUUCAUCAGUUGAUGGACACUUGGGUUGCUUCCAGAAAUAUUCUCUCUGACCAACGUGUUAACUAACCCAAUGAGAAGGUCUAGGGCCAGAGGGAGUAUCAUACUAUGAACAAGGUCCAGGAUGCCUGAUGUUAGAAGUGUGAGGGUUGUGGAGAAAGAACAAGUUUGAAAUACCCGGAGUCAGAAGCUGCCAUGAUGCAGGAAUGACUAAAUCUAUCUUUUCUCUCUAUAGAAAAUGAAAUUGCAAAAUUGUUGUUAAGUGAAGAGAUUAUCAAAAUAUUUACAGUUCCCAAAUGUAGAAAACAUGGAGGUGUCAGAUAGUUAAGAUAUCUUGUUUUUCUGAGUUUCGAUAUAUUUUUAGUAAUUAUCAGUUUUUUCAAAAUGUGUAACUUAUGGUUUAUCUUCCUUUAUUUAUUUAUUUAUUGUUAUUAUUCUUUAGAGAUGGAGUCUCGCUCUGUCACCCAAGCUGGAGUGCAGUGGCGUGAUCUCUGCUCACUGCAAGCUCUACCUCCCAGGUUCACACCAUUCCCUUGCCUCAACCUCCUGAGUAGCUGGGACUACAGACACCCGCCACCACGCCCAGCUAAUUUUUUUGUAUUUUUAAU
rnacentral:lncRNA from 10 species